AAUAAUCAAAUAUAACACUUUGGUAAUUUUUCUUACAUCUCCCCCUCCGGGAGCCCAGGUAGCAUAUAUACCCCCAAAAUAAAGAGCCUUGAAUACUAGAAGAAAGGCCCCUAUACCUAACAAGAUUAAGUGAAUACCCAGGUCAUUUUCUUUCUAUCUUUCCA
rnacentral:antisense_RNA from 1 species